rnacentral:rRNA from 1 species
AUUGAACGCUGGCGGCAUGCCUUACACAUGCAAGUCGAACGGUAACGGGCCUUCGGGUGCCGACGAGUGGCGAACGGGUGAGUAAUGCAUCGGAACGUACCUUUCAGUGGGGGAUAACGUAGCGAAAGUUACGCUAAUACCGCAUAUUCUGUGAGCAGGAAAGCAGGGGAUCGCAAGACCUUGCGCUGAUUGAGCGGCCGAUGUCAGAUUAGCUAGUUGGUGAGGUAAGGGCUCACCAAGGCGACGAUCUGUAGCGGGUCUGAGAGGAUGAUCCGCCACACUGGAACUGAGACACGGUCCAGACUCCUACGGGAGGCAGCAGUGGGGAAUUUUGGACAAUGGGGGCAACCCUGAUCCAGCCAUGCCGCGUGAGUGAAGAAGGCCUCGGUUGUAAGCUCUUCGGCCGGAGGAAAUCGUAUGGGUUAAUACCCUGUGCGGAUGACGGUACCGGCAUAAGAAGCACCGGCUAACUACGUGCCAGCAGCCGAC